rnacentral:rRNA from 1 species
GACGAACCGUGCAAACGUUGUUCGGAAUCACUGGGCUUAAAGGGCGCGUAGGCGGGUUGCCAAGUCUGUGGUGAAAGCCCCCGGCUUAACCGGGGAAGUGCCGUGGAUACUGGCGAUCUCGAGGAGGGUAGGGGCAUCUGGAACGUUGGGUGGAGCGGUGAAAUGCGUUGAUAUCCAACGGAACUCCGGUGGCGAAGGCGAGGUGCUGGACCCUUUCUGACGCUGAGGCGCGAAAGCUAGGGGAGCAAACAGG